rnacentral:lncRNA from 1 species
GAUUUUGGUGGUUCCGCAAGGACGGAUUGCUUGGGUCCUUGCCGUUAAGGUUUCAACCUGUUUGGUCAAGGUAUUCACGAGCUUAUCCUGUUCUUCCGACCUUUUCUCAUAGGUGGCGAACAUCUUUUUGAACUCCUCGAGCGUCGCGGCGUUGGCUUGCGUUAAGUGGAUACGUCCGCUACUGGAGUGUGGAGAUCGGUGCCGCUGCCUCCAUUAAGAGGAGUUUGCACGUUAUCCGCGUCGUUGGUUGACAUGUCUGACUGUGUGCGGCUUUUGCGGGUUAGAUUGAUCCGUACCCCCCCUC